GGCAGGUUUUAGGCGAUCUAUGGUGAC
rnacentral:sRNA from 1 species